rnacentral:rRNA from 1 species
CCCAGACUCCUACGGGAGGCAGCAGUGGGGAAUAUUGGGCAAUGGGCGCAAGCCUGACCCAGCAACGCCGCGUGAAGGAAGAAGGCUUUCGGGUUGUAAACUUCUUUUCUCAGGGACGAAGAAAGUGACGGUACCUGAGGAAUAAGCCACGGCUAACUACGUGCCAGCAGCCGCGGUAAUACGUAGGUGGCGAGCGUUAUCCGGAAUUACUGGGUGUAAAGGGAGCGUAGGCGGGGGAACAAGUUGAAUGUUUAAGAUAUGGGCUCAACUCAUAUAAGCGUUCAAAACUGUUUUUCUUGAGUGAAGUAGAGGUAAGCGGAAUUCCUAGUGUAGCGGUGGAAUGCGUAAAUAUUAGGAGGAACACCAGUGGCGAAGGCGGCUUACUGGGCUUUAACUGACGCUGAGGCUCGAAAGCGUGGGUAGCAAACAGGAUUAGAUACCCGUGUACG